AACGAACGCUGGCGGCAUGCCUAACACAUGCAAGUCGAACGAGACCUUCGGGUCUAGUGGCGCACGGGUGCGUAACGCGUGGGAACCGGCCCUUAGGUUCGGAAUAACUCCCCGAAAGGGGUGCUAAUACCGGAUAAUGUCUUCGGACCAAAGAUUUAUCGCCUUUGGAUGGGCCGGCGUUGGAUUAGCUAGUUGUUAGGGUAAAAGCCUACCAAGGCGACGAUCCAUAGCUGGUCUGAGAGGAUGAUCAGCCACACUGGGACUGAGACACGGCCCAGACUCCUACGGGAGGCAGCAGUGGGGAAUAUUGGAACAUCGGCGAAAGCCUGAUGCAGCAAUGCCGCGUGAGUGAUGAAGGCCUUAGGGUUGUAAAGCUCUUUUAACCGGGAUGAUAAUGACAGUACCGGGAGAAUAAGCCCCGGCUAACUACGUG
rnacentral:rRNA from 1 species